AGGGCACCACCAGGAGUGGAGCCUGCGGCUUAAUUUGACUCAACACGGGAAAUCUCACCAGGCCCGGACACCGGAAGGAUUGACAGAUUGAGAGCUCUUUCUUGAUUCGGUGGGUGGUGGUGCAUGGCCGUUCUUAGUUGGUGGAGCGAUUUGUCUGGUUAAUUCCGAUAACGAACGAGACUCUGGCCUACUAACUAGACGUUAGAUCCCUUUGUGGGUCUAUCGCAGCUUCUUAGAGGGACGGGCGGCGUUUAGCCGCACGAGAUUGAGCAAUAACAGGUCUGUGAUGCCCUUAGAUGUUCUGGGCUGCACGCGCGCUACACUGAAGGAAUCAGCGUGUGUUCCCUGUCCGAAAGGACUGGGAAACCCGUUGAACCCCCUUCGUGAUGGGGAUUGGGGAUUGCAAUUAUUCCCCAUGAACGAGGAAUUCCCAGUAGGCGCGAGUCAUAAGCUUGCGUCGAUUACGUCCCUGCCCUUUGUACACACCGCCCGUCGCUACUACCGAUCGAGUGAUUUAGU
rnacentral:rRNA from 1 species